rnacentral:rRNA from 1 species
GAGCGCUGAAGGUUGGUACUUGUACCGCUGGAUACCCCCUCACGGGUGAGUACCGCCUGGGGAAUCUGCCUUUGAGCGGGGGACAACAUUUGGAAACGAAUGCUAAUACCGCAUAAAAACUUUAAACACAAGUUUUAAGUUUGAAAGAUGCAAUUGCAUCACUCAAAGAUGAUCCCGCGUUGUAUUAGCUAGUUGGUGAGGUAAAGGCUCACCAAGGCGAUGAUACAUAGCCGACCUGAGAGGGUGAUCGGCCACAUUGGGACUGAGACACGGCCCAAACUCCUACGGGAGGCAGCAGUAGGGAAUCUUCGGCAAUGGACGAAAGUCUGACCGAGCAACGCCGCGUGAGUGAAGAAGGUUUUCGGAUCGUAAAACUCUGUUGGUAGACAAGAACGUUGGUGAGAGUGGAAAGCUCACCAAGUGACGGUAACUACCCAGAAAGGGACGGCUAACUACGUGCCACCAGCCGCGGUAAUACGUAGGUCCCGAGCGUUGUCCGGAUUUAUUGGGCGUAAAGCGAGCGCAGGUGGUUUAUUAAGUCUGGUGUAAAAGGCAGUGGCUCAACCAUUGUAUGCAUUGGAAACUGGUAGACUUGAGUGCAGGAGAGGAGAGUGGAAUUCCAUGUGUAGCGGUGAAAUGCGUAGAUAUAUGGAGGAACACCGGUGGCGAAAGCGGCUCUCUGGCCUGUAACUGACACUGAGGCUCGAAAGCGUGGGGAGCAAACAGGAUUAGAUACCCUGGUAGUCCACGCCGUAAACGAUGACUGCUAGAUGUAGGGAGCUAUAAGUCUCUGUAUCGCAGCUAACGCAAUAAGCACUCCGCCUGGGGAGUACGACCGCAAGUUGAAACUCAAGGAAUUGACGGGGGCCCGCACAAGCGGUGGAGCAUGUGGUUUA